CGCGUGAAUUCCCUGUAAACCAGCGGCAGCUACUCCUUCCCACAGGAUGGGUGGUUUCCAACGCCGCUUCCUGGUUCAGGUUACCGCCGGGAAUCGUAUGACCUUGAGCCUGCUCAUCUUUCCCCCUCCCCCCCACGCUCCUUUAAGACUUAUUGCAACCUGGGGCUUUAAGCGUUAUUCAUGGAUUCACACAGUCGGCCUCAGUGUCAAAAGAAAACACUGAAGUCAGUAGAAUGUUGUGCAUCGAGCCUGUAGCUGCUGAACAGAAGAGGCAGAGUGAGCUUUCAGGAGAUGUGGAGAGAGCUCUCAAUUAAAGAAAGAGAAAGUGACGCGCCCCUGCUGAAAAAGUCAACUUUUGGUCGUUAACGUGUGGCAUCGAGUUCAUCGCUGAAACAGGAGGAAAAACAUCAUGUGCACGGUGACGGAAGUUUGAGGUUUCGGCUUUUAUCGCCACCCAAAUCUCCUGCUUGAUCUGUUUGGGGUUUCCUGUGUAAGUCACCAUCAUGUGCCCUAAAGGACUGCGCGCACAAACGCUCACAGACGCAAAGAGCUAAAAACCCAGUUUGGCUUUAUUCCAAGUAAAGCCUUAAAGUCUUUAAACUGACACAAACGCAUUCAAGCAGACAUGUCGGCCUUUCCGUCACCAGUUUCAGUCUCUAAACUGGGACUUCUUGACACAUUGUCGCUGUGAGUCAUCGCACAACGGCACGCAAAUGGGAAAUGAUACGGCAAAUACUGAUCGCCCGGGAUCAGAUGUUGCUCAUCUGUGACUGCUGCCGCAUUUCCCAGAGCCACAAAUACAGCAGCGGCUGCUCACACGCUGACGGAAACAGCCGAUGAGGGCCAGCCCCGCAAUCCUCAAAUGGCUCCCGGUGAUCCCCUGCAAACCUGCUGAAGAGCCCACCUAAAUGAGGCGGAGAAGGGAAACUCCUUCCCUUCGCCUCGCUCCGUGUGGAAGCGAGAGCUCAGAGGGGAAAAUCUUGUGCCACCAUUGUUAGCUCUAAAAAAAAAAAAAAAAAAAAAAUGUUUAAACGCUGCAGGGAUGAGAGUCAGCA